CAAUUAAGGGUAUUAACUCAGCAGCUGGUAUAGGAACAGUUCCAGCAAAGAGAAGUAGUGAAACUACAAAACUAAGAGAGAUCUCAAUUCCUUCCCAACAUCAAGAACGAACAUGAAAGAAGAAUUUUUUUUUAUUUGUUUAACGGUUUAACUUCAAAAACGUGCUUAAAUACUCAUAUCUUUCUUUAAUUUCUGCUUAAUUAUUUUUCUCCUCUUCUAGCCUUACUUAUGUAUUUUCUUUCCUUUAUUGAGGAUUUUGCUUAGCUCGGAGAGGAGGUAGACGAAGUUGGAGAAAGAAAUUAACCAAAUUAAUUAAUUUGGGACGGAAACUCAAGAGGUAUAUUUGAUAUCACAACAUUUAUUGGUAUACCUUAAAGGUAAGAAAGGCAUACCUGUAGCGCACAAAUAUUUAUGNN
rnacentral:lncRNA from 1 species